rnacentral:misc_RNA from 1 species
CCAAUAGCGUAUAUUAAAGUUGUUGCAGUUAAAAAGCUCGUAGUUGAAUUUCGGGAUUGACACAUCGGUCGUGCCUUAAGGGGUAUGAACUGGUGUAGUCAAUUUCUCACCUUCUGGAGAACGGCGAUGCCCUUAAUUGGGUGUCACGGGGAACCAGGACCUUUACUUUGAAAAAAUUAGAGUGUUUAAAGCAGGCAUUUUGCUUGAAUACUUUAGCAUGGAAUAAUAAAAUAGGACGGCAUGAUUCUAUUUUGUUGGUUUCUAGGAUCACCGUAAUGAUUAAUAGGGAUAGUUGGGGGCAUUAGUAGUCAAUAGUCAGAGGUGAAAUUCUUGGAUUUAUUGAAGACUAACUACUGCGAAAGCAUUUGCCAAGGAUGUUUUCAUUAAUCAAGAACGAAAGUUAGGGGAUCGAAGACGAUCAGAUACCGUCGUAGUCUUAACCAUAAACUAUGCCGACUAGGAAUCAGACGAUGUUAAUUUUUUAAUGACUCGUUUGGCACCUUACA